rnacentral:rRNA from 1 species
AUUGAACGCUGGCGGCAGGCCUAACACAUGCAAGUCGAGCGAGCGGCGGACGGGGGAGUAAUGCCUAGGAAUCUGCAUGGUAGUGGGGGAUAACGUCCGGAAACGGUAGCUAAUACCGCAUACCAUCGGAUGUGCCCGGAUGGGAUUAGCUAGUAGGGGGGGUAACGGCUCACCUAGGCCACGAUCCCUAGCUGGUCUGAGAGGAUGACCAGCCACACUGGAACUGAGACACGGUCCAGACUCCUACGGGAGGCAGCAGUGGGGAAUAUUGCACAAUGGGCGCAAUCCUGAUGCAGCCAUGCCGCGUGUAUGAAGAAGGCCUUCGGGUUGUAAAGUACUUUCAGCGGGGAGGCGUUACCCGCAGAAGAAGCACCGGCUAACUCCGUGCCAGCAGCCGCGGUAAUAC